rnacentral:lncRNA from 1 species
CGGCUCUGUCUCAAUCUGAGGACCGGUGGACGGGAGGAUCCCGGAGCCCCGUCUGAUUCAGACUGACAGCUGGGCUAAUCAGGUUACUAACGCACUGGGUGGCUGCUCCGUUCUAAAGGAGGGGGAGUCGGGGUUCCUUCUUUCUGUGUGUGUGUGUGUGUGUGUGUGUGUGUGUGUAGGAGACACAGGUCACUGAGUCUGGUUUUGUUCCUGUUGGUCAGACACAGCGUAAAAAAGUUCAACCUCACCUCUACAUGUGAGCCGAGUAAAUUAUUUUUGUGUUUUCUGAAAUUUAAUUUUGUUUUUGGGAAAGUUUUUGUCUUUUUUUAAGUAUAAAAAGAGUGUUUUUGUUUUUGUUUAAUUGUGUUUUAAUGAUUAUUGUUUCACUUUGUACUUUAUCUUUAAUAUUAUGAAAUCCAUCGCCACAGUAGGAAGCGUAAUCGUGUUCUCUGAAACGUCAUGAUUCGUGAGGUUUGUCUGUGUCCUGGAGUCUGAUGUUUUUGUAAUUUUGGAAAUGUCUGGUUUGGUUUCCAGGGGCCCCUUUAAGAGAAGUUGAGAUAGUAUCAGGGACCGUGACUGAUAGGGGCCCCGAGGUCGUUAGAAAACUCGGGGUAGUGAUGUGGUGGGGGCUCAGUGUUAUGUUUUUAUGGGUGUGGGAAUCUUCCAUGUGGCCGUGUUUGUAUAUGAAGAGUUUUCUUUUCUUUUUGACUUUUGACCUUCAGGGCCACCGUAGUCCUUCUGCUAUCUCGCUUUUCCAAACCCGAUCUUCACCCUGAGGCCCAAACUCUGAACCCCCGUGAGCUUUAAUAACUUCAGGCAUGUGAUGUGUGAGUCUGUGAAGGUCUGCAUCACACACUCAAUGAUGGGACAGCAUUAUAAACGAGGACAGUUACAGUGUAUUGAUUAUAAUAUUGAUUAUAAAUGUAUAUAUAUAUUGGUUACAGCUGUCCUUUUAAAAAAGUGAUAUCUAUCUAUCUAUCUAUCUAUCUAUCUAUCCAUCCAUGUCUCCUUGUCUUAUUGUCUGACCUUAACAUCAACCGGUAAUUUAUUGACGGUCCCUUAUUCAACACCGACGUUGACAGUGAGGGUGUCGAGUAGAUUUAACCGCGCUGCUGUUGUUAUUCCCGGUUAUGGAGAGUGAGAAGACACCGGUAGAUCCUCAGAGAAUGUCCGUCAGAUAUCCAACCUGAAACUAACUUCACCGAAGUAUUUACAGGAAAAUAUAUCCAACCUGAAACUAACUUCACCGCCGUAUUUACAGAAAAAUAUAUCCAACCUAAAACUAACUUCACCGCCGUAUUUACAGGAAAAUAUAUCCAACCUAAAACUAACUUCACCGCCGUAUUUACAGGAAAAUAUAUCCAACCUGAAACUAACUUCACCGCCGUAUUUACAGGAAAAUAUAUCCAACCUGAAACUAACUUCACCGCCAUAUUUACAGGAAAAUAUAUCCAACCUGAAACUAACUUCACCGCAGUAUUUACAGGAAAAUAUAUCCAACCUGAAACUAACUUCACCGCCAUAUUUACAGGAAAAUAUAUCCAACCUGAAACUAACUUCACCGCCGUAUUUACAGGAAAAUAUAUCCAACCUGAAACUAACUUCACCGCCGUAUUUACAUCAAGUGAAUUGGACACAUUGUCAAGCCCUGCUAUCUAUCUAUCUAUCUACAGUAUCUAUCUAUCUAUCUAUCUAUCUAUAAUUAUUGCCUUUUAAAAAUACCUACAUGUAGAUAUUUCACGCCGCUCUUAGAUUCCAGCUCAAAGUGUUGGCACUUCACUUUGUAAAUUAAACACUCAUCGCUGGUCUGCAUUGAUUUUCUUCUCAUUAUCUCCUAUAAUAGAAGGAAUUAUCAAACUGAUUCAAUCACAGCACUGUUAACGCCUUAAAGUGUUUUUAUAUUGUGUUCUUUGACUCGACAGCACAAUGAAAACGUGAACUCCUGGGAUCUGCAGAGGUGAAAGAAUGGAUGAAGAACGUAAACACGGAUGAAAGAGAGGAGUGUGGAAAACAGCUCUCACACUCGGAGCUUUUCAUGAGACUUUUCAAAGGGAUUUGGAGCUGACAAAAGGAUCUCCUGUGAGACGGCCUCAUCAUUCACGGCGCUCCUCUGUGCCCCAUGCCCUCAAUCAGCCAAGUUCCUCGCAUGCUCACCUCUUCCCUGUGGGCAGCGCUGGUAUGUGCAUGACAGAAGAGAUAACAUCCUUCUCCAGCAGAGGAGGGUUCACACAGUCACACACUGCUUAGCCGGCAAUAACAAAAGCC